UCCCUUGGAACCGCAUCGGUUCCAAGGAUGAAACGACGGUUUCACGCUGUCACUUACAGAUGGACCCGCGGCGCAUUAGCUAGUUGGUGGGGAAUGGCUCACCAAGGCGACGAUGCGUAGCCGACCUGAGAGGGUGAUCGGCCACACUGGGACUGAGACACGGCCCAGACUCCUACGGGAGGCAGCAGUAGGGAAUCUUCCGCAAUGGACGAAAGUCUGACGGAGCAACGCCGCGUGAGUGAUGAAGGUUUUCGGAUCGUAAAGCUCUGUUGUUAGGGAAGAACAAGUGCGAGAGUAACUGCUCUCUCUUUGACGGUACCUAACCAGAAAGCCACGGUUAACUACGUGCCAGCAGCCGCGGUAAUACGUAGGUGGCAACCGUUGUCCGGAAUUAUUGGGCGUAAAGGGCUCGCAGGCGGUUCUUAGGUCUGAUGUGAAAGCCCCCGGCUCAACCGGGGAGGGCAUUGGAAACUGGGAAACUUGAGUGCAGAAAGGAGAGUGGAAUUCCACGUGUAGCGGGAAUGCGUAAGAUGUGGAGGAACACCAGUC
rnacentral:rRNA from 1 species